UCUUCGGCAAUGGACGAAAGUCUGACCGAGCAACGCCGCGUGUGCGAUGAAGGCCUUCGGGUUGUAAAGCACUGUCGAGGGGAAACAAGCCGUAAGGUUGAGUGACCCCUGGAGGAAGCACGGGCUAAGUUCGUGCCAGCAGCCGCGGUAAGACGAACCGUGCAAACGUUAUUCGGAAUCACUGGGCUUAAAGGGCGCGUAGGCGGGUGAUCAAGUCAAUGGUGAAAUCCUCCAGCUUAACUGGAGAAGUGCCUUUGAUACUGAUUGUCUAGAGGGAGGUAGGGGCAUGUGGAACUUCAGGUGGAGCGGUGAAAUGCGUAGAUAUCUGAAGGAACGCCAGUGGCGAAAGCGAUGUGCUGGACCUUUUUUGACGCUGAGGCGCG
rnacentral:rRNA from 1 species